AAAUAGAUAAAUUUUUUAUAUUUUUUAUAAUUUAUUAUAAAUUUAUUUUACAUGUAAAUUUUAGUAUGAAAUUUUAAUUAUUUAAAUAAUAAUUAAUUUAAAAUUAACAGUAAUUAAAAUUAAAAAUUUAAGAAAUUAAGAUUUAGUAAUAUAUAAAUUAAUAACUAAUUUUGUGCCAGCAGUUGCGGUUAAACAAAAGUUAAAUUAAAUUAUUUCAGUAUAUAAUAAAUAAUAAAAUAUUUAAAUUAAAUAUUAAAUUAUUAAGUGAAAUUUUAAUUUAAUUAAAAAUUAUAUUUUAAAUUAUGAUUUAAUAAAUUUUAUUAUAAACUAGGAUUAGAUACCCUAUUAUUAAAAAUUUAAUAAAAAAUACUAAAAUAGUAAAUAAAAUAUUAUUGAAACUUAAAUAAUAUGGCGGUAUUUUAGUUCAUUUAGAGGAAUCUGUCUAUUAAUUGAUAAUCCACGAAUAAAUUUACUUAAUUUAUAAUUUUGUAUAUCAUUGUUAAAAAAAUAUUUUUAAAUAAAAAUAAUAUUUUAAAAUUUAAAAUAAAAUUUAAUUCAGAUCAAGAUGCAGAUUAUAAUUAAGUUUAAGAUGGAUUACAAUAAAUUUAUUUAAACGAAAAGAAAAUUGUAAUAUUUGAUUGAAGGUGGAUUUAAAUGUAAUUUUAAUUAAUUUAUUAAAAUGAUUAAUAAUUAAAAUAUGUACAUAUUGCCCGUCACUUUCAUUUAAAAAUUGAAAUAAGUCGUAACAAAGUAGAAGUACUGGAAAGUGUUUCUAGAAUGAA
rnacentral:ncRNA from 1 species